rnacentral:misc_RNA from 1 species
AACGCACCUUGCGCUCCUUGGUAUUCCUCGGAGCACGCCUGUUUGAGUAUCAUGAAAUUCUCAAAGCAAGUCUUUUGUUAAUUCAACUGGCUUUUGUUUUGGAUUUGGAGGUUUUGCAGAUUCACGUCUGCUCCUCUUAAAUGCAUUAGCUGGAUCUCUAUAAAACCGGUUCCACUCGGCGUGAUAAGUAUCACUCGCUGAGGACACUCUUGAAAAAGGGUGGCCGGAUUCAUGGAUGAACCGCUUCUAACGGUCUAUUAGAUUAGACAAACACACUUUAUGAUCUGAUCUCAAAUCAGGUGGGACUACCCGCUGAACUUAA